rnacentral:tRNA from 1 species
CUUUUAAAGGAUCGAAGUUUAAUCCAU